rnacentral:rRNA from 1 species
AUUGAACGCUGGCGGCAGGCCUAACACAUGCAAGUCGGGCGAGCGGCGGACGGGUGAGUAAUGUAUGGGGAUCUGCCUGAUGGCGGGGGAUAACUACUGGAAACGGUAGCUAAUACCGCGUACCAUAGGAUGAGCCCAAGUGGGAUUAGGUAGUUGGUGAGGUAAAGGCUCACCAAGCCGACGAUCUCUAGCUGGUAUGAGAGGAUGACGAGACAGACUGGAACGGAGACACGGUCCAGACGCCGACAGGAGGCAGCAGUGGGGAAUAUUGCACAAUGGGCGCAAGCGUGAUGCAGCCAUGCCGCGUGUAUGAAGAAGGCCUUCGGGUUGUAAAGUACUUUAAGGAGGGAGGCGUUAACCGCAGAAGAAGCACCGGCUAACUCCGUGCCAGCAGCCGCGGUAAUUC